rnacentral:rRNA from 1 species
UACGUAGGGUGCGAGCGUUAAUCGGACUUACUGGGCGUAAAGCGUGCGCAGGCGGUUUUGUAAGCCAGAUGUGAAAUCCCCGGGCUUAACCUGGGAAUGGCAUUUGGGACUGCAAGGCUCGAGUGCGGCAGAGGAGACUGGAAUUCCUGGUGUAGCAGUGAAAUGCGUAGAUAUCAGGAGGAACACCGAUGGCGAAGGCAGGUCUCUGGGCUGACACUGACGCUCAUGCACGAAAGCGUGGGGAGCAAACAGG